UAGGGAAUCUUCCACAAUGGACGCAAGUCUGAUGGAGCAACGCCGCGUGAGUGAAGAAGGCUUUCGGGUCGUAAAACUCUGUUGUUGGAGAAGAAUGGUCGGCAGAGUAACUGUUGUCGGCGUGACGGUAUCCAACCAGAAAGCCACGGCUAACUACGUGCCAGCAGCCGCGGUAAUACGUAGGUGGCAAGCGUUAUCCGGAUUUAUUGGGCGUAAAGCGAGCGCAGGCGGUUUUUUAAGUCUGAUGUGAAAGCCCUCGGCUUAACCGAGGAAGCGCAUCGGAAACUGGGAAACUUGAGUGCAGAAGAGGACAGUGGAACUCCAUGUGUAGCGGUGAAAUGCGUAGAUAUAUGGAAGAACACCAGUGGCGAAGGCGGCUGUCUGGUCUGUAACUGACGCUGAGGCUCGAAAGCAUGGGUAGCGAACAGGAUUAGAUACCCUGGU
rnacentral:rRNA from 1 species